rnacentral:lncRNA from 1 species
CUUUUGGCUGAGAAUGGGGGACUGAAGCAAAAACUAGAUGCUGCUGGCGUGAUAGAAGCAGAACUGAAUCAAAGACUGGAGGAACUGAACAAAGAGAAAGAUGGCAUGAUUUGGGAGAAAGAGGCUGCCAUGAGAAGCAUUGAAGAGAGUGAGAAGAUCAGAGAAGCUUUGAAGUUGGAAUAUGAGACAGCUUUGAUCAAGAUUCAAGAAGAAGAGGAGGUCAUCGGAAAUUUGAAGCUUAAAGCUGAAAGUUCAGAUACUGAUAAAACCCGACUUUUGGCUGAGAAUGGGGAACUGAAGCAAAAACUAGAUGCUGCUGGCGUGAUAGAAGCAGAACUGAAUCAAAGACUGGAGGAACUGAACAAAGAGAAAGAUAGCCUGAUUUUGGAGAGAGAGGCUGCCAUGAGAAGCAUUGAAGAGAGUGAGAAGAUCAGAGAAGCUUUGAAGUUGGAAUAUGAGACAGCUUUGAUCAAGAUUCAAGAAGAAGAGGAGGUCAUCAGAAAUUUGAAGAUUGAAGCUGAAAGUUCAGACACUGAUAAAGCACGGCUUUUGGCUGAGAAUGGGGGACUGAAGCAAAAACUAGAUGCUGCUGGCGUGAUAGAAGCAGAACUGAAUCAAAGACUGGAGGAACUGAACAAAGAGAAAGAUGGCCUGAUUUUGGAGACAGAGGCUGCCAUGAGAAGCAUUGAAGAGAGUGAGAAGAUCAGAGAAGCUUUGAAGUUGGAAUAUGAGACAGCUUUGAUCAAGAUUCAAGAAGAAGAGGAGGUCAUCAGAAAUUUGAAGCUCGAAGCUGAAAGCUCAGACACUGAUAAAGCCCGACUUUUGGCUGAGAGUGGGGGACUGAAGCAAAAACUAGAUGCUGCUGGCUUGAUAGAAGCAGAACUGAAUCAAAGACUGGAGGAACUGAACAAAGAGAAAAAUAGCCUGAUUUUGGAGACAGAGGCUGCCAUGAGAAGCAUUGAAGAGAGUGAGAAGAUCAGAGAAGCUUUGACGUUGGAAUAUGAGACAGCUUUGAUCAAGAUUCAAGAAGAAGAGGAGGUCAUCAGAAAUUUGAAGCUCGAAGUUGAAAGCUCAGACACUGGUAAAGCACGACUUUUGGCUGAGAAUGGAGAACUGAAGCAAAAACUAGAUUCUGCUGGCGUGAUAGAAGCAGAACUGAAUCAAAGAAUGGAGGAACUGAACAAAGAGAAAGAUGGCAUGAUUUUGGAGAAAGAGGCUGCCAUGAGAAGCAUUGAAGAGAGUGAGAAGAUUGGAGAAGACUUAAGAAUCUUGACUGAUCAGCUGCAAGAAGAAAAAGCUACCACAGGGCAAGAACUAGA